UAAUACGUAGGGGCCGAGCGUUGUCCGGAAUUACUGGGCGUGAAGCGCGCGCAGGCGGCUCCUUGCGCCCGGCGUGAAAGCCCCCGGCUCAACCGGGGAGCGUCGUCGGGGACGGGGGAGCUUGAGGGCGAGAGGGGCCGGUGGAAUCCCUGGUGUAGUGGUGAAAUGCGUAGAGAUCAGGGGGAACACCCGUGGCGAAGGCGGCCGGCUGGCUCGACUCUGACGCUGAGGCGCGAAGGCGUGGGGAGCGAACGGGAUUAGAUACCCCGGUAGUCCACGCAGUAAACGAUGCAGACUAGGCGUGGGGGGACUUGACCCCCUCCGUGCCGGAGCUAACGCGGGAAGUCUGCCGCCUGGGGAGUACGGCCGCAAGGCUA
rnacentral:rRNA from 1 species